UACGUAGGGGGCAAGCGUUGUCCGGAUUUAUUGGGCGUAAAGAGCGUGUAGGCGGCUUGGUAGGUCUGCUGUGAAAACUCGGGGCUCAACCCCGAGACGUCGGUGGAAACCACCUGGCUAGAGUCCGGAAGAGGAGAGUGGAAUUCCUGGUGUAGCGGUGAAAUGCGCAGAUAUCAGGAAGAAUAUCCGUGGCGAAGACGGCUCUCUGGGACGGUACUGACGCUGAGACGCGAAAGCGUGGGGAGCGAACAGG
rnacentral:rRNA from 1 species